CAUUUAUUAGAUAAAGCCAGUUCAUGCUUUUAUAGUGAUGAAAAUUGGUGAUUUAUAAUAACUUAGCAAAUCGCAAAGUGAAAACAGGCGAUAAAUCAUUCAAGUUUCUGACCUAUCAGCUUUCGACGGUAUGGUAUUGGCUUACCGUGGCAGUGACGGUUAACGGGGGAUUAGGGUUCGAUUCCGGAGAGGGAGCCUGAGAAACGGCUACCACAUCUAAGGAAGGCAGCAGGCGCGCAAAUUACCCAAUUCUAACAGUUUGAGAGAGGUAGUAACAAGAAAUAACAAUACAAGGCAGUUAAAAUGCUUUGUAAUUGGAAUGAUAGAAAUUUAAACCCUUUUUAAAGUAUCAAUUGGAGGGCAAGUCUGGUGCCAGCAGCCGCGGUAAUUCCAGCUCCAAUAGCGUAUAUUAAAAUUGUUGCAGUUAAAAAGCUCGUAGUUGAAGUUCUGCUGAAAGUAACCGGUCUGCUUUUAAUAAAAGUGGUAUCUUGGUAUGUAUUUAGCAAUGAUGUCCUUUGAAGUGUUUUUUACUUUAUUGUAAUAAAGCAUAUUCAGGACUUUUACUUUGAGAAAAUUAGAGUGUUUCUAGCAGGCUAACGCUUUGAAUACUGCAGCAUGGAAUAAUAAGGAUAAAAAA
rnacentral:rRNA from 1 species